rnacentral:rRNA from 1 species
GAGGAAUAAGCAUCGGCUAACUCCGUGCCAGCAGCCGCGGUAAUACGGGGGAUGCAAGCGUUAUCCGGAAUCAUUGGGCGUAAAGCGCCUGUAGGUUGUUUACUAAGUCUGUUGUUAAAGACUAGGGCUUAACCCUAGAAAAGCAAUGGAAACUUGUAGACUAGAGUAUGGCAGGGGUAGAGGGAAUUUCUAGUGUAGCGGUGAAAUGCGUAGAUAUUAGAAAGAACACCAGUGGCGAAAGCGCUCUACUGGACCAUUACUGACACUCAGAGGCGAAAGCUAGGGUAGCAAAAGGGAUUAGAUACCCCUGUAGUCCUAGCCGUAAACGAUGGAUACUAGAUGUUGUGCUUUGUACAGUAUCGUAGCUAACGCGUUAAGUAUCCCGCCUGGGGAGUACGCUCGCAAGGGUGAAACUCAAAGGAAUUGACGGGGGCCCGCACAAGCGGUGGAGCAUGUGGUUUAAUUCGAUGCAACGCGAAGAACCUUACCAGGGCUUGACAUACUACAGAUUCUUUUGAAAAAAGGAAGUGCCUUCGGGAAUGUAGAUACAGGUGGUGCAUGGCUGUCGUCAGCUCGUGUCGUGAGAUGUUGGGUUAAGUCCCGCAACGAGCGCAACCCUUAUUUUUAGUUACCAAUUCGUUGGGUUCUCUAGAAAGACUGCCGGUGACAAACCGGAGGAAGGUGAGGAUGACGUCAAGUCAGCAUGCCCCUUAUGUCCUGGGCUACACACGUGCUACAAUGGUUAAGACAAAGAGUCGCAAGCUUGCAAGAGUUAGCUAAUCUCAUAAACUUAGCCUAAGUUCAGAUUGUAGGCUGCAACUCGCCUACAUGAAG